CAGUAGCCGCGGUAAUACGUAGGGUGCGAGCGUUAAUCGGAAUUACUGGGCGUAAAGCGUGCGCAGGCGGUUAUAUAAGACAGAUGUGAAAUCCCCGGGCUCAACCUGGGACCUGCAUUUGUGACUGUAUAGCUAGAGUACGGUAGAGGGGGAUGGAAUUCCGCGUGUAGCAGCGAAAUGCGUAGAUAUGCGGAGGAACACCGAUGGCGAAGGCAAUCCCCUGGACCUGUACUGACGCUCAUGCACGAAAGCGUGGGGAGCAAACAGGAUUAGAUACCCGCGUAGUCCCUGUCUCUUAUAA
rnacentral:rRNA from 1 species